rnacentral:rRNA from 1 species
GACGAACGCUGGCGGUGUGCUUAACAUAUGCAAGUCGAACGGAAAGGCCCUGCUUUUGUGGGGUGCUCGAGUGGCGAACGGGUGAGUAACACGUGAGUAACCUGCCCUUGACUUUGGGAUAACUUCAGGAAACUGGGGCUAAUACCGGAUAGGAGCUCCUGCUGCAUGGUGGGGGUUGGAAAGUUUCGGCGGUUGGGGAUGGACUCGCGGCUUAUCAGCUUGUUGGUGGGGUAGUGGCUUACCAAGGCUUUGACGGGUAGCCGGCCUGAGAGGGUGACCGGCCACAUUGGGACUGAGAUACGGCCCAGACUCCUACGGGAGGCAGCAGUAGGGAAUAUUGCACAAUGGGCGGAAGCCUGAUGCAGCAACGCCGCGUGCGGGAUGACGGCCUUCGGGUUGUAAACCGCUUUCGCCUGUGACGAAGCGUGAGUGACGGUAAUGGGUAAAGAAGCACCGGCUAACUACGUG